AAAUUACUAUGAACGUCCAAUCAAAAGCGUUGUUGAGCUGUCAGGUCGGGAGUGUUCAUCCAAUAGGAUGACUUUAUUUUGCAGACACGAGGAGCGGGUGAAAUGAAUAUGUGCUUUUGAUUCCAGUUUGAGACAUCAUUUCAACGCUGGUCUUCGAAGAAUAAAGAUGAGUCUUCUCCACGCCAAGAAAAUUUCAAUAGAAAUUGCUAUCAGAUUGCUAUCGUCUUCAGCAGAGGAGAAGUUUAAUAGAAGUUUACUAUCUCUGACAGACCGUCGUUGGUGUAAUACCAGAAUUUUGACGAAUUAAAGCGAAAUUAAACGAUAAAAUUUGUGAACAAGAGAUUGACUACCGCUGAAUGGCGGCUGAACUGGCUCAAGAUAACUCGCCUUUGAAGAGAAAGCACGUCUAGGCCUUUUCUUGGGACUUGUUGAUUAUAUGAGAAAGGUGGAGUUUAAAAGCUAAAACCAAACCGAAUAUAGAAAUGAGCUGGAAAAGAAAACUCAUUGCUGAAAUUCCCCGAGAUGACUCGCAUUUCAGGAGACAGCAAGUUCAAAGCUGCUCUUCAACACUUGUUGCUGAAAUGAACAGGUAGCGAUUGAGCGGGUCAAGCCAUUUGAAACGACGACAAAACCUGUUCAUAAUAAAACGUUGAUGGGCUCUGUUGAGCUAUUACCGACAAGCCAAAUCGACGGCAAAAUCUACGUCUAAAGUAGGCAAUCUCGACGGCAAAUCUACGCCUAAUGUAGGCAAUCUCGACGGCAAAUCUACGCCUAAUGUAGGCAACUUC